AACGAACGCUGGCGGCAGGCUUAACACAUGCAAGUCGAACGCCCCGCAAGGGGAGUGGCAGACGGGUGAGUAACGCGUGGGAAUCUACCCAAUUCUUCGGAACAACUGAGGGAAACUUCAGCUAAUACCGGAUACGCCCUACGGGGGAAAGAUUUAUCGGAAUUGGAUGAGCCCGCGUUGGAUUAGCUAGUUGGUGAGGUAAUGGCUCACCAAGGCGACGAUCCAUAGCUGGUCUGAGAGGAUGAUCAGCCACACUGGGACUGAGACACGGCCCAGACUCCUACGGGAGGCAGCAGUGGGGAAUAUUGGACAAUGGGCGCAAGCCUGAUCCAGCCAUGCCGCGUGAGUGAUGAAGGCCUUAGGGUUGUAAAGCUCUUUCAGUAGG
rnacentral:rRNA from 1 species